UCCCGUGUGGCUCAGUUGGUAGAGCAUGGUGUUUGCAACGGCAGGGUUGUGGGUUCAAUUCCCACAUGGGGA
rnacentral:tRNA from 1 species